rnacentral:rRNA from 1 species
AUUGAACGCUGGCGGCAUGCCUUACACAUGCAAGUCGAACGGCAGCACGGGAGCUUGCUCCUGGUGGCGAGUGGCGAACGGGUGAGUAAUACAUCGGAACGUACCCUGAAGUGGGGGAUAACGUAGCGAAAGUUACGCUAAUACCGCAUAUUCUGUGAGCAGGAAAGAGGGGGAUCGCAAGACCUCUUGCUUUAGGAGCGGCCGAUGUCGGAUUAGCUAGUUGGUGAGGUAAAGGCUCACCAAGGCGACGAUCCGUAGCGGGUCUGAGAGGAUGAUCCGCCACACUGGGACUGAGACACGGCCCCAGACUCCUACGGGAGGCAGCAGUGGGGAAUUUUGGACAAUGGGCGCAAGCCUGAUCCAGCCAUGCCGCGUGAGUGAAGAAGGCCUCGG